rnacentral:rRNA from 1 species
UACGUAGGGUCCAAGCGUUGUCCGGAAUUAUUGGGCGUAAAGAGCUCGUAGGCGGUUUGUCGCGUCUGCUGUGAAAACCUAAGGCUCAACCUUGGGCUUGCAGUGGGUACGGGGCAGACUAGAGUGGCGGGUAGGGGUGACUGGAAUUCCUGGUGUAGCGGUGGAAUGCGCAGAUAUCAGGGAGGAACACCGAUGGGCGAA